AGCGAACGCUGGCGGCAGGCUUAACACAAGCAAGUCGAGCGGACCUUUCGGGGUCAGCGGCGGACGGGUGAGUAACGCGUGGGAACGUGCCUUCCGGUUCGGAAUAACCCUGGGAAACUAGGGCUAAUACCGGAUACGCCCUUAUGGGGAAAGGUUUACUGCCGGAAGAUCGGCCCGCGUCUGAUUAGCUAGUUGGUGGGGUAACGGCCUACCAAGGCGACGAUCAGUAGCUGGUCUGAGAGGAUGAUCAGCCACACUGGGACUGAGACACGGCCCAGACUCCUACGGGAGGCAGCAGUGGGGAAUAUUGGACAAUGGGCGCAAGCCUGAUCCAGCCAUGCCGCGUGAGUGAUGAAGGCCUUAGGGUUGUAAAGCUCUUUUAUCCGGGACGAUAAUGACGGUACCGGAGGAAUAAGCCCCGGCUAACUUCGUG
rnacentral:rRNA from 1 species